AGCAGUGAUGGUCACGGCCUUGGAAGUUGGUACGAUGCCACAGACGAUGUGGGAGAAUGGGAUGAAAGUUGGAGAACAGCGGUGGAAGAACGGAAUGAAUGACCGGAAGAAAGAGUUCGUGCAACAAUGAGGUGCUCCAGGCUGUGCAGAGGAAGGAGCACAUGGAGGCAGAUAGACUUCUAACAGGUGUAGCACAAGACAAAAGGAACCUCCCUUUCCCCUGGGAUCAAUGUUGUGCCUCAGGGUGGGGCCCCAGAGCCCAACCCCUCUGCAGUGGAAAACCGAAGCGAGCCAGAAUUGCACGGUAACUAGUCCCUCUUCAUAAUACAGUUCGAGUACGGCUCGGUUCCUGU